GUACGAUUUUCAUAGGAAUGUAG
rnacentral:sRNA from 1 species